rnacentral:misc_RNA from 1 species
UAAUUAUUCUGUAUAUAGAGUAUGAAAGAAAUUAGUGUUUCAUCGUCAUCGAUAAUAAUAUCGAAGUACGUAUUUUUCAUCGUUCUCAUAACAAUACCGAUACUCCUUUUUCUCUCUCAUCGGAGUUCAUCUUCUUCCGUUAUCAUCUCCACCACAACAACAUCAAAUUCCGAUUCCGAUCUCAAAAUCCGUCCAGGAUAUUCGAGCUACGAUUCCUACAUUAAGAAACAGCUAAACAAAACACUCAAUCCAAAACUUCGAAAAAUCUGGACGACUCGUGAUUGGGAUAGAAAAAUUGAAGUUUUCUCAAAAUUCUUCGGAGAACUUAGAAAUAGAAAUUUACUCUCAGAUUCAUCGAAAGUACUCUGUAUUGGUGCUCGUAUGGGUCAGGAAGUGGAAGCACUGAAACGAGUCGGAGUUUCUGAUUCAGUUGGAAUGGACCUUGUACCGUAUCCGCCAUUAGUGGUUAAAGGAGAUUUUCAUAAUCAGCCGUUCGACGAUGAGAUUUUUGAUCUGGAAUUUUCUAAUGUAUUUGAUCACGCGCUUUUCCCGGAGAAAUUUGUAUCGGAGAUCGAACGGACAUUGAAGACCGGCGGGAUUUGUGUGUUACACGUGUCGUUAUCUAAACGAGCGGAUAAGUAUUCGGCGAAUGAUUUG